rnacentral:ncRNA from 1 species
AAAACAAAGCAUUGCGAUGGCCCUCGCGGGUGUUAACGCAAUGUGAUUUCUGCCCAGUGCUCUGAAAGUCAACGUGAAGAAAUUCAAGCAAGCGCGGGUAAACGGCGGGAGUAACUAUGACUCUCUUAAGGGUCGGCCUCCUCAGCUCUUGAUACCCACUUCGGUGGAUUCUCUGGGCUGGGGAUCAGGGCCCCCUUAUAGAGAGUCGUAGUCGGGGCAUGACGCGCAAUACAUAGCCUCUCA